CUUUUUCCUUGGUAGGUUUUUAUCCCGCUGGGUUUUUCCUAACAAGGUUUUAAUGAGGCCUUGUCUUGGGUGAUGCUCAUUGUCAUUCUGUGGGUUGGUGGUGGGUUUCUUUACUUCUCUGGUUGUUUUUUGGGCCAAUUUGUUUUUAGACAAAUCUUACACUUGUAUUGUUCUACCUUGAGUCAUUUCUGGCUCAGGUCUUUCUAUUAAUAAUAUCCAUUUUGCUUUC
rnacentral:lncRNA from 1 species